UCUCCGUUGGUGAACCAGCGGAGGGAUCAUUACUGAGCGUGUAAACACACUCAAAACCAUAGCGAACCUACCCGUGGGAUUGUAUCGUUGCCUCGGCGGGCGGCCCCAGGGGGGGGCCCGCGGCCCCACGGUGCCCGCCGGAGCUGCAAAACUCCAGCUGUCUUAGUAACCUUCUGAGGAACAAGCAAAUAAAGUUAAAACUUUCAGCAACGGAUCUCUGGGUGCUGGCAUCGAUGAAGAACGCAGC
rnacentral:misc_RNA from 1 species